rnacentral:rRNA from 1 species
AUUGAACGCUGGCGGCAUGCCUUACACAUGCAAGUCGAACGGUAACGCGGGGCAACCUGGCGACGAGUGGCGAACGGGUGAGUAAUACAUCGGAACGUGCCCAGUAGUGGGGGAUAGCCCGGCGAAAGCCGGAUUAAUACCGCAUACGACCUACGGGUGAAAGCAGGGGAUCGCAAGACCUUGCGCUAUUGGAGCGGCCGAUGUCAGAUUAGGUUGUUGGUGGGGUAAAAGCCUACCAAGCCGACGAUCUGUAGCUGGUCUGAGAGGACGACCAGCCACACUGGGACUGAGACACGGCCCAGACUCCUACGGGAGGCAGCAGUGGGGAAUUUUGGACAAUGGGCGCAAGCCUGAUCCAGCCAUGCCGCGUGC